UACAGAGGGUGCAAGCGUUAAUCGGAAUUACUGGGCGUAAAGCGUGCGUAGACGGUUACGUAAGUCAGAUGUGAAAGCCCCGGGCUCAACCUGGGAAUUGCAUUUGAGACUGCGUAGCUAGGGUGCGGAAGAGGGAAGCGGAAUUUCCGGUGUAGCGGUGAAAUGCGUAGAGAUGUGGAGGAACACCGAUGGCGAAGGCAGCCCCCUGGGUCAAGAUUGACGCUCAUGCACGAAAGCGUGGGGAGCAAACAGG
rnacentral:rRNA from 1 species